AUUGAACGCUGGCGGCAGGCCUAACACAUGCAAGUCGAACGAUGGCCGGACGGGUGGUUAAUUUCUGGGAAACUCCCCGAUGGGGGGGGAUACCACCUGGAAACGUAACUUAUACCCCAUACCACGGGAUUUCCCCAAAGGGGAUUAGCUAGUAGGUGGGGUAACGGCUCACCUAGGCGACGAUCCCUAGCUGGUCUGAGAGGAUGACCAGCCACACUGGAACUGAGACACGGUCCAGACUCCUACGGGAGGCAGCAGUGGGGAAUAUUGCACAAUGGGCGCAAGCCUGAUGCAGCCAUGCCGCGUGUAUGAAGAAGGCCUUCGGGUUGUAAAGUACUUUCAGCGAGGAGGCGUUACUCGCAGAAGAAGCACCGGCUAACUCCGUGCCAGCAGCCGCGGUAAUUC
rnacentral:rRNA from 1 species